UACAGAGGUCUCAAGCGUUGUUCGGAUUCAUUGGGCGUAAAGGGUGUGUAGGUGGCGCGCUAAGUCGGGUGUGAAAUUUCGGAGCUUAACUCCGAAACUGCAUUCGAUACUGCCGUGCUUGAGGACUGGAGAGGAGACUGGAAUUUACGGUGUAGCGGUGAAAUGCGUAGAUAUCGUAAGGAAGACCAGUGGCGAAGGCGGGUCUCUGGACAGUUCCUGACGCUGAGGCACGAAGGCCAGGGGGAGCAAAACGGGG
rnacentral:rRNA from 1 species